UACGGAGGGGGCUAGCGUUGUUCGGAAUUACUGGGCGUAAAGCGCACGUAGGCGGCUUUGUAAGUUAGAGGUGAAAGCCCAGGGCUCAACCCUGGAAUUGCCUUUAAGACUGCAUCGCUUGAAUCAUGGAGAGGUGAGUGGAAUUCCGAGUGUAGAGGUGAAAUUCGUAGAUAUUCGGAAGAACACCAGUGGCGAAGGCGACUCACUGGACAUGUAUUGACGCUGAGGUGCGAAAGCGUGGGGAGCAAACAGGG
rnacentral:rRNA from 1 species